GGGACGUCGCGCUGAGCCCUGCUUUGGAGUCAGGGGGACUUUCCGCCUCGGUGAACUCGAGAGUAGCAACUCUCCUCCGGGUAACCGGAGUGCCACAGCGGGCAGGCGUCGUAAGGACAGGCUUCGGAGAGGAGAGGGGCUACCCGAGGAUGGCAUCAAACAUAACAUGUGACACAUGGCAGCCAUUUUGGAGAUGGCCAGAUGAGAGGACAAUCAAUCCACAUGCCUAAAUGGAACCGACAGACACGCGCCAGCUUCCUCUCCAGCCUAUGCUCUCAGACACUUGUAGAAGACCAGAGAGAAAAUGGAAUCAGAAAAAACAGCAACAACAACAACAACAAAAAAAAGCCAUCCAGGGCCAUGCACAGUGGCUUGCUCCUGUAAUCCCAACAGUUUGGGAGGCCAAGGCAGGUGGAUUGCUUGAGCUCAGGAGUUCAAGACCAGCCUGGGCAACAUGGCGAAACCCUUUCUCUACUAAAUACAAAAACUAGCUGGGUGUGGUGGCAUGCACCUGUAGUCCCAGCUACUCGGGAGGCUGAGGUGGGAGGAUCACCUGAGCCUGGGAAGUUGAAGCUGCAGUGAGCUGUGAUGGUGCCACUGCACUCCCACCUGGGUGACAGAGCAAGACCCUGUCUCAAAAAAACAAAGCAAAAUAAAACAAAAAAAUCCAGGUGGGAAAACGCUCAAUCAGAGCCAACUCACUGCUGGGAUUAGUGGAAAUGAUUAGUCACCAGAAGGCAAAUCGUGGAAGAAUGAAGAGAUGACAGGACCUCAGGAACUACACCCAGAGGCCAGCUGUGUCAUAGGCAAAGCAUCAUGCAGGUCAUCCCCAAGAAGGGGAGACAGGGUAGAGCUCAGACUCUUCCCUGCUUCCCCAUAAGUCCAGUUUACCCUGGGCUGAUCCUUUCAGCAUGGCAGCCUCCAUGGGGAGGCACGAGAUCCAAAGAUGAAGAUGUCUAUGGGGGUGAAGAAGAAUGGCAAACUUUGCAGGCAAGAGUAGGCAUUAGAGAGAUCAGAGGAGGAAGACAAUAGAGAAGGAUGACACAGGACAGGCUAUAUCUAGAGGAUAUAGUGCCAUGGACUUUGGACUAUUCCAGAGAGGCUGAGAGACCUGUCUCCUGCCUGCAAGGCUCCUUGAACUCUGCACCUUUCUUUUUGCGAAAGUGCUGCUGAGGCCUGUCUCACUUCCCAAUGAAAAGCAACUCAGGAAAUUGGCUUGCUGCCCCACUCCUUCUUUGAGAGAGAGAAACAGAACUGAAGAGGAAGGAAGGAAGCCCAAAGAAAGAGGAUUUCUUUCCUGGCUGAGAUUUGUUGGCACUGCCCACUAACAUAGAGAAUAAGGCGGUUCCCUAAGCGAGCCUUAAGCUGGCAUGAGGCUACAAACAAGUGAUUGUAUCUUCGUUCUGCUCAGCAGCCUACCUGGGCUGGCCUGGACAACCUCAAUUGUAUACUGAGAUCUUAAGCUGGCCAUGGCCCUUGGUAAAGCAGGAGAAAGGAAUAAGGCUGGAAGGUACAGAAUUUGCUUGAUGUCUUGCCUACAUAAUUCCUUUGCUGUUGCAAUUGGCAACUCUUUGCUUGCAUUAUGUGAAAAAAGGAGGUAAAAAAUUGUCAGAAAUGUUUGCCACCAGCCUAACCCCACCGCCCAUGCAUUGCUCCCAAGAAAGCUAAUUAAGGCCCAUUGCUAUUAGAGUUACAUGAUUCUGAAGGCUUGUUAUGACAAGAAAAAAUAAUGAAGACACGGUUCCUCCAAGUCAUAAGCAUCCAAGUCAAAACAUACUGCAUCCCAGCCAAGUGUGGUGGCUCACGCCUGUAAUCCCAGUACUUUGAGAGGCCAAGGCAGGCGGAUCACGAGGUCAGGAGUUCGAGACCAGCCUGGCCAAGAUGAUGAAACCCUGUCUCUACUAAAAAUACAAAAAUUAGCCAUGCGCGGUGGCGGGGGCCUGUACUCCCAGCUACUCAGGAAGCUGAGGCAGGAGAAUUGCUUGAAACCGGGAGGCGGAGGUUGCAGUGAGCCGAGAUCACACCACUGCACUGUACCCUGGGCAACAGAGCAAGACUCCAUCUCAAAAAAAAAAGAAAAAAAAUCCUGCAUCCCUUGUCCCUUUGUGUUCCCCUAGACAAGCCUCUGGGCUGGCUUUGUCUAUCUCAUGCAUGCAGGCAGUCAUCCUCCUUUGGCCGAUGCAUACCUGACUCCUACUCAGUGCCAGGCUGAGACCUGCCCUUGAGGAGCUCUGUUUGCAGGAAGAGAGUGAUAGGCACACAAAUUA
rnacentral:lncRNA from 1 species